AGAAUAAUAUUCAACAGACAUCUCAGAGUCAACACAUACUCACCAAACUAACCCUGGAGUUCUGCAUCUCAUACUUGAUGAUAAUGCCACAUCAACUCAGUUGUCCAGGACAGGGACCUGGUAAUAUUUGAAGAGUUUUCUGUGUUCUCCAGCCAAUUGUCUCAAGUGUCAAUUCCGCCUCCUAAGUGUGUAUCUGAUUGUUUCCUUUCUUGCUACUGCUACAACUUUUGUUCAGCCAUCACCACUCCGCAUGAGAUUACUGCAUUGACAUGAUGGAGUGCUCCUGGUUACUAAUCUUAAACUCAUUCAGUCAACUUCCCCACUACUCUCUGAGUAGGAAGUCUAAAAUACAAAUAUUACGACCUCCCCACAUCCACUACCCUGUAAGUCAUUUUAUGUCUCCUUAUUAUAUUGAGCACAAAGUCUCAAUUCAACAUGGUAUCCAAAGCCAUUCAUAAUUUGAACAACAUCCUCUCUCUCCAUUCUCCCACAUUUAGAUUAUGUCCUGGACCAUGCUACCCUUUGAUAAGUCUACCAACACUCCGCAUUCUUUCACAUCCCCAUAGUAUAGAUAUGCUAUUUCAUGUCUUCUCCAAGCAUUUGUACUUCCUGCCAAACACACAUACUUUCUUCUCCAGAAUAACUCAUAUUCAUUCUUGAAGACUUGGUUCAAGUUUUUUCUCCUUUAGGUGCCUUCUAUAAAACCUUCUUUCCUCUGCCCCAAUUUGGGAAGUUCCUCUGUCCUCUCAUCAACCAUAGCAGCCUAGCCUAUAUCUAUUAUAGAUUUGUCAUACCUUGUUGUAAUUAACUUUAGGUUUUUAAAUAAUGGUAGUGAUGAUAAUUAUGGUAUGUGUAGGUUAUUGAAUAUAAACCUUUAUGUUAAAGUUGUCCCAUAAAGCCAUGUUUGGAAUCCAAAGAUUCAAGGUGGCUCUUCUUAUCAGAGACUGGGGAGAGACUUGGGUGGGAGGGAUGUCCUUUAGAAAACUAACUGGCAGUCCCCAUAGACUGUCUCUGGUUUGGACAGCAUCCUUGCAUAGGUGCUUGAUUGGAUCUCAACUUUUGGUGUUGGCCCUGUCAUCAGACUGUGGUAGGAUCACAGGUAGCACCCCCACCCUGCCAUUCAACACUGUUACACUGUGCUUGAUUAAAAGCUCAUCGCCUGUACUUGAGUAUGCUCUUUCUUCAAAGACCCCUUGGUCCAUUAUGUGUGUUGACUGCAAGUGGGCCUACCUUCCUUCUGGGCACUGUGAACAGUGUCAUUUAAUUCUUAGAACAGUCCCAUUAAGUGGGCAGCGUUAUCAUCUCUAUUUUAAGUGUGAAAACUGGCAAGGGUUGACAUAAUUUGCCUAUGGUUAUAUGCCUAAGAAGAGAGGUUCAAAUUUGAUAUUCAACUAUGUGCCAUUAGUGCCUCAAACAGGGUAAGGCUAAUAGGAGACACUCCUAAAAUAUUUACAAGGUUUUGGUCAAAUAGAAGGAAUAAGUUUUAAAAUCAAUUACAUAGCAUGGUGACAAUAGUUAACAAUAAUGUAAUGUGUAUUUCAAAAUCGCUAUGAGAGUAAAUUUUAAAUGUUCAUAGCACACAGAAACAACAUAAGUAUGUGAGGUUACUGACAUGUUAAUUAGCUUGAUUUAAUCAUUCUCUAAUACAAACAUACAAUGCCUGGGUGUGGUGGCUCAUGCCUGUAAUCCCAGCACUUUGGGAGGCCAAGGUGGGUAGAUCAUGAGGUAAGGAGUUCAAGACCAGCCUGGCCAACAUGGCGAAACUCAGUCUCUACUAAAAAAAAUACAAAAUUUAUCCAUGUAUGGUUGUGGGCACCUGUAAUCCCAGUUCCUUGGGAGGCUGAGGCAGGAGAAUCAUUUGAACCCGAGAGGUGUAGGUUGCAGUGUGCCGAGAUCGUGCCAUUGCAGUCCAGCCUGGGUGACAAGAGCAAGACUCUGUCUCAAAACAAACAAACAAACAAACAAACAAAAAAACCGUUGCCAUUAAAAGAGGGAAAAACAUUUUUGAGCCCCCUCCAGCCCAAAAGCUUCAUUUUUACCCUGAAAAGGGAAAAUGGAAUAAAAAGACAAGUCAAUAUAAACAUUAUGUGUUCCAAAUGAGUUUUACAUGACCACAGAAGAGGGAGACAGUGUUCUGAGAAAUCAGUGACAGAGAUUGAAGAAAUUUAGACUGUCAGAACUAAAAAGAAUGUCACAGUUUUGUCUCGUGACUCUGGAAAAACGGUAGCUGAUAAAUGUGAUUUACUAUCAAAUGCCAAAGGCAGUUGUGGUUGUCAAGAUAUUUUCCUUUUGCUGUUUACUUUGGGGCUUAAGCGCAGGUAGGAUAGUCCAAAGAAUAAGGAAUUGCAGCCUGUGUGUCAGGAGACCUGGGUUCCAUUCCCAUCUCUACCACAGUGAUGAACUGCAUGACCAUGAGAAGAUUCUAAACCUCUUGGUCUCAUAGGAAGAUAACACCAGAAAAAUGGUGGUGAGGACAGAAUGAGGUAACAUAUGUGAAAUAUAAUGCACAGUAGAUAUCCUGGAACAACAGUUCGUAUAUGAUUUAUGCCUUGUGAAUGUAUAGAAGAACUCUGGAGAAGAAUGCUCUAUUUAAAUGUAACUUACUACUUUAAGCUUCACAAAAGUGAAGAAGUCUUGAGGGUCUCUGCUUAGAUUUCAGAGGAUAUAUGGAAAAGCCUGGGGUCCAGGCAGAAGCCUGUUGUAGAGGAAAAGGCCUCACAGAGAACCUCUACCAGGGCAGUGUGGAAAGAACAUGUGGAGUUGAAGGCUCCACACAGAGUCCCCACUAGGGCACUGCCUAGUGAAGCUGUAAGAAGUGGGCCAUGAUCCUGCAGACCACAGAA